rnacentral:rRNA from 1 species
UACGUAGGUGGCGAGCGUUGUUCGGAAUUACUGGGCGUAAAGCGAGUGUAGGCGGUUCGAUAAGUCGGAUGUGAAAGCCCCGGGCUCAACCCGGGAAGUGCACUCGAUACUGUCGAGCUAGAGUAUCGGAGAGGUUGGUGGAAUUCUCGGUGUAGAGGUGAAAUUCGUAGAUAUCGAGAGGAACACCGGUGGCGAAGGCGGCCAACUGGACGAAUACUGACGCUGAGACGCGAAAGCGUGGGGAGCGAACAGG